GGCCCCAUCGUCUAACGGUUAGGACGUCAGGUUCUCAACCUGGCAAUCCGGGUUCGAUUCCCGGUGGGGUCACCA
rnacentral:tRNA from 1 species